AUUGAACGCUGGCGGCAUGCCUUACACAUGCAAGUCGAACGGUAACGCGGGGCAACCUGGCGACGAGUGGCGAACGGGUGAGUAAUGCAUCGGAACGUGCCCAGUAGUGGGGGAUAGCCCGGCGAAAGCCGGAUUAAUACCGCAUACGACCUACGGGUGAAAGCGGGGGACCGUAAGGCCUCGCGCUAUUGGAGCGGUCGAUGUCAGAUUAGGUUGUUGGUGGGGUAAAAGCCUACCAAGCCGACGAUCUGUAGCUGGUCUGAGAGGACGACCAGCCACACGGGGAAUGAGACACGGACCAGACUCCUACGGGAGGCAGCAGUGGGGAGUUUUGGACAAUGGGGGCAACCCUGAUCCAGCCAUGCCGCGUGCGGGAAGAAGGCCUUCGGGUUGUAAACCGCUUUUGUCAGGGAAGAAACGCUCUGGGCUAAUACCCCGGGGUAAUGACGGUACCUGAAGAAUAAGCACCGGCUAACUACGUGCCAGCAGCCGCCGUAAUAC
rnacentral:rRNA from 1 species